CGUUAAGUCUCAUGGUGAAAGGCCUGGGCUCAACCCGGGAACUGCGCUUAAGACUGUCGGGCUGUGAGUCCGGGAGAGGAUGGCGGAAUUCCCAGUGUAGAGGUGAAAUUCGUAGAUAUUGGGAAGAACACCAGUGGCGAAGGCGGCCAUCUGGCCCGGUACUGACGCUGAGGCGCGAAAGCGUGGGGAGCAAACAG
rnacentral:rRNA from 1 species